CAAGGCAACAGUGUGACGUCUUUGUUUGUUUUUAUUUAAAUGCGUCCGCGACAUUCCAAAAUAGAAAACGCGCUCGCGCUGUUGUUUAUUGUUGUUGUUGUUGCUGCUGCUGCUGUUGUUCCAUAACGGUUAACUGUAAGAGAAAGGAGAGAACGGACGCUCGAGAGAACAAACGUUUAUUCAACACAACAAUGGAUAAUACCGUUAACACACCUGCUUCUCCAGCUCCAGUGAGGUCCUGUAAAGAAGUAAGUUCCUCUUGGAGUUUCCAUCCUGAACUGGAGCCGCGUUUCACCGUCGCGCACGCGGAGUCUGUCACACCUGUCACACCUGUCACGCGCAGCGUCGAAGCGGCUACAGAGGACGUGAGCUUCCCUCAGCUUCCCUCAGGAACAGAUGAUUUUCCCCCGCAAGCAAACUACAAAAAUAGAAAAGGCUACAUCAAGAAGCCCAUGAACGCCUACAUGGUUUGGGCGAGGAUACAGCGGUCUAUCUUGUGCAAGGCCAACCCGAAUGCCAGCUUUGCAGAGAUCAGCAUGCUACUUGGGAAUGGGUGGAGGAACCUGAGUGAAGAACAGAAGAAACCCUACUACGCAGAGACAUGGAGGCUUAAACAGAAACACAGAAAGAAAUUUCCUGAUUGGGUUUAUAAUUCGGGGAGGAGAAAGAGAUUCAGCCCAGAAGUGGCACCUCUGCAUACUACCUCUAAUGCCUCACCAACCGUACCCCUGGCACAUCCUCAGAGAUCUGCGCCUCAGAACAUCCCUGUAGCAUCACCCAGAAACUCCAGCUUGCAGUACUCAGCCAUGCAGACCAAUCCAAUGUUCUCCGAUCUCCUGCUACAGAGCCGCCGCACUGUACGCAACGAGGCUGCAGAGGCGGUGCGAGAUAUCCCCACUGAACCCAUGCAGCUGGGGCGUACGCAGCUCAGUGCAGAGGAAAGAGAGAGACGGCGUCAGGAGUUUCGUUGCUUCUACUGUGGCGAGGAAGGACACAUCAUCAGACAAUGACCUCUCAAGCAGCGCCGAGACCUAGGAGAGAGCGGGACGGCUAAACCACAUCAGCCAGGGAAGUGCUGAUUGACUCAGGAGCGGCGGGGAACUUCAGCGAUCAGAACACCGUACAGCAGCACAACAUCCCUGUUCGUCCACUAAUCAAGCCACGUGGGAUUCAGGCCAUUGAUGGGGCCCCCAUUGGGAAGGGGUUUGUCACCCAUUGUACUGAGCCACUCACCCUCCAGACCAGCACACUCCAUCAGGAGAGCAUAGUGUUUUACUAGAAGUGCCAUCUCUGCACACUACCUCUAAUGCCUCACCAACCGUACCCCUGGCACAUCCUCAGAGAUCUGCGCCUCAGAAUACCCCCGUAGCAUCACCCAGAAACUCCAGCUUGCGGUACUCAGCCAUGCAGACCAAUCCAAUGUUCUCCGCCUCGUUUUGUUUGUUUGCCUGAUCGCGUGACCCCUUUUUGAUUGUUUUCACGACUACAAACUUUGACUCUUCCUUUGGAUUAUUCUGCCUUGAUUCUGUCACCCGCAACUGCUUCCGUCUCCACCCUCGGAACGUGACAAUAUGGAAUUAAUUAAUCAUGCAACAGUUAGUUCAAGUCCAGGGGGCAUGGUGGCUUAGUUGUUAAUACAUUUGCCUCACACCUCCAGGGUUGGGGGUUCGAUUCUAAUCUCUGCUCUGUGUGUGCAGAGUUUGCAUGUUCUCUCUGUGCUUUGGGGGUUUCCUGUGGGUAGUCCAGUUUCCUCCCUGAUUGGCAUUUCCAAACUGUCCAUAGUGUGUGAAUAGGCAGUUUGCAGAGUACAACCUCACAGAGGAGGAGACCUGCUCAAGAGCCAAACCGCCAUAUAGUCAUGGACAUGCCAAGAGAAGUACCACGCCAUGGCCUGGUGCCUGGAUCUAGUGGCCAGU